GUUUGAUCCUGGCUCAGGAUGAACGCUGGCGGCGUGCUUAACACAUGCAAGUCGAACGAUCCUUCGGGAUAGUGGCGGACGGGUGAGUAACGCGUGGGAAUCUGCCCUCAGGAGGGGGAUAACGGCUGGAAACGGCCGCUAAUACCCCAUAUGCCGAGAGGUGAAAUGAAUUUCGCCUGAGGAUGAGCCCGCGUCUGAUUAGCUAGUUGGUGGGGUAAAGGCCUACCAAGGCGACGAUCAGUAGCUGGUCUGAGAGGAUGAUCAGCCACACUGGGACUGAGACACGGCCCAGACUCCUACGGGAGGCAGCAGUGGGGAAUUUUCCGCAAUGGGCGAAAGCCUGACGGAGCAACGCCGCGUGAGGGAUGAAGGCCUCUGGGCUGUAAACCUCUUUUCUCAAGGAAGAAGAACUGACGGUACUUGAGGAAUAAGCCACGGCUAAUUCCGUGCCAGCAGCCGCGGUAAUACGGGAGUGGCAAGCGUUAUCCGGAAUUAUUGGGCGUAAAGCGUCCGCAGGCGGCCUUGUAAGUCUGUUGUUAAAGCGUGGAGCUCAACUCCAUUUAAGCAAUGGAAACUACAAGGCUGGAGUGUGGUAGGGGCAGAGGGAAUUCCCGGUGUAGCGGUGAAAUGCGUAGAUAUCGGGAAGAACACCAGUGGCGAAGGCGCUCUGCUGGGCCAUAACUGACGCUCAUGGACGAAAGCCAGGGGAGCGAAAGGGAUUAGAUACCCCUGUAGUCCUGGCCGUAAACGAUGAACACUAGGUGUCGGGGGAAUCGACCCCCUCGGUGUCGUAGCCAACGCGUUAAGUGUUCCGCCUGGGGAGUACGCAUGCAAGUGUGAAACUCAAAGGAAUUAACGGGGGCCCGCACAAGCGGUGGAGUAUGUGGUUUAAUUCGAUGCAACGCGAAGAACCUUACCAGGGUUUGACAUCCUGCGAAUCCCUUGGAAACGAGGGAGUGCCUUCGGGAGCGCAGUGACAGGUGGUGCAUGGCUGUCGUCAGCUCGUGUCGUGAGAUGUUGGGUUAAGUCCCGCAACGAGCGCAACCCACGUCUUUAGUUGCCAGCAUUCAGUUGGGCACUCUAGAGAGACCGCCGGUGAUAAACCGGAGGAAGGUGUGGAUGACGUCAAGUCAUCAUGCCCCUUACAUCCUGGGCUACACACGUACUACAAUGCUACGGACAAAGGGCAGCAAGCUCGCGAGAGUUAGCAAAUCCCAUAAACCGUGGCUCAGUUCAGAUCGUAGGCUGCAACUCGCCUACGUGAAGGAGGAAUCGCUAGUAAUCGCAGGUCAGCAUACUGCGGUGAAUACGUUCCCGGGCCUUGUACACACCGCCCGUCACACCAUGGAAGUUGGCCAUGCCCGAAGUCGUUACUCCAACCCUUGUGGAGGAGGACGCCGAAGGUGGGGCUGAUGACUGGGGUGAAGUCGUAACAAGGUA
rnacentral:rRNA from 1 species